rnacentral:tRNA from 1 species
GGGUCGUUAGCUCAGUUGGUAGAGCAGUUGACUUUUAAUCAAUUGGUCGAAAAGCGCCCUAAAGGCGCUUUUUUGCUAUCUGCGAUUUAUAAGAUUCG